rnacentral:rRNA from 1 species
GUGGGGAAUCUUGCGCAAUGGGCGAAAGCCUGACGCAGCCAUGCCGCGUGAAUGAUGAAGGUCUUAGGAUUGUAAAAUUCUUUCACCGGGGACGAUAAUGACGGUACCCGGAGAAGAAGCUCCGGCUAACUUCGUGCCAGCAGCCGCGGUAAUACGAAGGGGGCUAGCGUUGCUCGGAAUUACUGGGCGUAAAGGGCGCGUAGGCGGGCAGCUUAGUCAGAGGUGAAAGCCCAGGGCUCAACCUUGGAAUUGCCUUUGAUACUGGCUGUCUUGAGUUUGGGAGAGGUGAGUGGAACUCCGAGUGUAGAGGUGAAAUUCGUAGAUAUUCGGAAGAACACCAGUGGCGAAGGCGACUCACUGGCCCAAUACUGACGCUGAGGCGCGAAAGCGUGGGGAGCAAACAGGAUUAGAUACCCUUGUAGUCC